ACGGACCCCUGAAGCAAGGGCUAAGACACCCAAAACAGCCAAGCAGUCCAAAAAAGACUCUAACAAUGAGUGGAAAACCACAUUCCUGUCAAGCAAGACCUCCUUCACCAAAGGCAGGGUUUCAAUCCUGAGGACUAAGUACGCCAUCUCCUGGGGCAAAUCCUCGAUCUCCUGGAGCAGAACCACCGUAACCUUGGGCGGCAUCAACAUAUCGACCGGCACGACCUCUGUGACACGAGGGGAGACCACGAGCUCUCUCACCACUCUGACCUUCACCUUUGGGACCAAGUCUGUGUCUAUGAUCAAAACCACCCUCAUCAGGGGCACAGAAAAGCACAGCAACACCUACUGGGAUUUUCACACAUGAUUCCUGCACACACUUGAAACACCCAAGGAUAUUUCUAUCUGGUCAGUUUAGCAGUCUUGCCAUAACCAGCAGGAUCAGAUGACACAGGCAGACUCCUCACUGGCCCGCAGCAUUGUGUAACACCAGCCAAGUGCUGUUGUUUAUCGUCCCGGACUGUCGGGGGAGACGUCCUGUCCCGUACUGGAUCUGCACAGACAGCCAAGAUAAAGAACGCCGCUUUAGUUAAAUAUUAAGAAAAGAAUGAUCAUUUCGGCCAAGUAGACUAAAAGAAAAUUCAUCUAGACCAGGGUGUGUCCCUCUCUCUCCCUCUCUUUCCCUUCUCUCACCAGCCCUAUCUGUGAAUAAAAGUCCAGGCAAAGUGUUUCAUGGUCAGAGGACGUGUAGACGGAUUAAUGUGCAGGUUGGACAGUGAGGGCGUUCGGCUGAGAAGCGAUGAGAGUGUAAUAGAAGACGUUUGAACCUGACAGGGAGGUAAAAUUUAGGGGUGGCACAGAGAGAUUGGUGGUGAGAGAGCUGGAUGAUUCCCCAAAUGUUUAGUCAAACCUACAGGAACUGCUGCCGUGGUUUAUCUCACGGUAUAAAUAAGUGUUGCUUUGAAGAAACUGCUGCACAUGUUAUUCCAGACACGCAAAGAUUUGUUGACCUUUCUGUUUAUUUAUUACCAUAUUACUGAGAGAGAUGCAAAGUGGCACCCUUUACUAUUGUUCAGGAGCCACCCACUUGCACAAGCAUGUCUACGAGAUAUGAAUAUGUGGUCGUGUUUACUACAGCACAGAACAUUUUAUUCCCUGCUCGGCUGUGCAGCCACGCCCCGGAAGAGAUCAGACCUCGGCCAAGAUGCACCACGACGCCUCGCCCCCUCCCUCCCUUCUUCCCAUUCCCUGCUCUCUCUGUUUACAGCUGCAGGUAAAACACCUCACAUCAGACCUGUAAAGUCUCACUCAUCUUAUCUAUGUUUUCUUAGGUUCGCCGUGUCCACAGCAGCACCGCUCCUCCACACAAGGAUGACGGACUAAAGCAACAAAACAGUAAAUUUUAAGCAUCAUGUUGCCUGUCAACAAAUUGUAACUGUUGAUCUUUUAUAUUUUGGCUCAGAUAAACAAACUGGAAAUUCCAACCGACUGCAGAGAAACCCUCGGCCCUGCCCGUGUUAAAAUAAAACCUGUUGCUAGUGGCAACAGCACAGAGAUACAGUAGAUCACGAUGACACUGCCGUCACUGUGGACAUGAUAAAUAUCACCACGUCUCUUCAGAGCCAAUAAGACAAAGCACCUUCGGAUUUUCUGAUGCUGUCGGGUAAAAACAUUGCAGAUAAAUUCAUCAAAGAGGAGAACGAUAAACUAAAAAAAAUGCCUAAAUAUUCUCAAAAUUGCAACUUUUUCACCUGACUGCAACAGACCAUUUUAUUAUUUUUCACUGCCAUUAUUAUUCUUGAUUUUAUUGUCAACUGUUCCCUGUGGUGGUGCAAAUGUUCGAUCAGGUUUUCCUUUAUUACACACAAAUGUCUAUUGCUGUACAUAUGUGUUUCUAAUUAAAAAAAGCUCAUUCUGUUACACUGCAAACACUGAGGCAGUAGAGCCCGACCGAUAUGGGGGUUUUGAGACAGAUGCAGAUACUGAUUAUAGAGGGGGGUAAAUUAUAGUAAUUUUUUGAGCUGGAAUGAAAAUAGACCAUUUUUUAUGUGUAUUGUGUGCCGAUUGUUCCCCACUCUGCAAAUGUACCCAGAGAGCUACUUUAUCAUACAAAAAACAUUGUUAUACAGUAUUACACAUCAUGCAAACAAUGCAUCUCAUUGUCUGCCAAUUCUCGAGAAAAUAGUAUAAAUAGGAAUAAAAUAAAUAGCUAAAUUACUGUUCAGUGUCAGUCAAAUGCUGACUAUUUAAAAAAUAUAUUUAAAAAAUUAUCACCAGUUCUAAAUCACGGCAAUCAACAUUUUCCACAUUAUACAUUGUGUAAAAAAGUUUUUCAUAAUGGCACAUAUUGGACAACUUGUAUCUGUCGGGCUCUAACGGAGACAUUGAGUAAACCUCUCUGCCUGGUGAUUAUGAUGUGAUUACACUUCUCAUGUGAUUACACUUCUCAAAAUAAAAUAAAAACAGACACUGAUGCCAGUUUUUCUUCGUUAUGACCCCCGGUAACACACAGGGGAACAACAACAAAUUAAUUAUUUGAUCCCAAACCUGAACAAAAACAGCCCCCUUUCUCUCAAAAGAGACAUAAUUUCAUCCAAAAACUUGUUAGGAGUUAAAAGUUAAUCUUUGUGUGUGCUGAUUGUAUUUUAAACGUGUACGAUGUGACAGCGAGGGAAAAAAAAGGUCAGACAUUAUAAAUAUAUAUAUACAAAUACAUGUUUUAGGGGAGAAUAAAUAAAAAAGGCUUGGCUUGGUGGACUAAUCGAGCACUAACGUCAGCUAAGGCAGCAGUUGGAGCUGUGGAGGUGUCUCAGCAGCAGCACGACAGAGCCUGGAUCCUGUAUCCUGCAGCAACACGACGCCCAGCCUGCUUUAAUGCACCGCUCCUGCUGAUUCAGGAUCUCUCUCCGGUGAGACUGAAACUCUGACUACUUGAAUCAACUCUGACCAGAAUGGCAUCAAGGAGAGAAACUUUUUAUAAUUAAAAAAGGUCAGAAACAUCAUGAAAGAGGAGAUGCAGAUCUGACAGACACGCCCUCCGACUGAACCUAAUCAAUGUUGUUCAUUAGAAGAAAUGGACUGUUUGUACUGAUGGAAAGCUGUUUGAGAUUUAUUUCUGUCUUGUCCUGCGUGUUUGUCAUUAAAAAGCUUACAUGAUUAAAUCGGUCGGGCCGCACUGGAAACAACAGUGUUUUUGUUCCCUCGCUAAUCUUUCUUUCUGUGUCGUGUUUCCGUUGUGAGAACUUCUCUUUCGUUGCAGGCAUGCUCUGUGUGAUGUCGUGUGUUUUGCUUCACUGUACGUGUCACUAAAAUGCAGACAGGACCUUUGGACAGAAAGGAACUGGAAUAAAAACGCUUGAUUGUGUGUCUA